GGCAGUUCUUGGGUGACACACCCCGGAAUCGGGCUCCCUCCUCUCUGGUUCCGGGUGCAUUGAGCAUCUGCC
rfam:Myotis lucifugus cont2.33082, whole genome shotgun sequence.